rnacentral:rRNA from 1 species
CCGGCACGGGUGAGUAACACGUAUCCAACCUGCCGUCUACUCUUGGACAGCCUUCUGAAAGGAAGAUUAAUACAAGGUGGCAUCAUGAGUCCGCAUGUUCACAUGAUUAAAGGUAUUCCGGUAGACGAUGGGGAUGCGUUCCAUUAGAUAGUAGGCGGGGUAACGGCCCACCUAGUCUUCGAUGGAUAGGGGUUCUGAGAGGAAGGUCCCCCACAUUGGAACUGAGACACGGUCCAA